ACAUUCUAUACAGCAGCAAACCAACAAAGUCAUCACCAGCACCAGUCAACUCAUCAAACAACUCUCUGACAUCAUCACUGGCUCUACACGGCAAGAUCGUCUUCGCCUGACUAGACUUAAGACAGAACUCUCAGAGUCGGUUCAACGCUAUGGAGAUCUGCAAAAGAAAAUUGCAGACCGUUCGAGGGCCUUGCUACCCCCGGCACAGACAGAAAUGAAGCAGGUGAGUUUGAUGCACAGUGUAUCAGUCUGU